rnacentral:rRNA from 1 species
AGCGAACGCUGGCGGCGUGUUUAAGACAUGCAAGUCGUACAGAUCAAAAUUGUAGCAAUACCGUUUUGGUUAGUGGCGCACGGGUGAGUAACACGUGAAUAACAUGCCCUGCAGUGGGGAAUAGCCCAGGGAAACUUGGAUUAAUACCCCAUGGUAUCGCAAGAUUAAAGGUGGCCGCAAGGCUGUCGCUGCAGGAUUGGUUCGCGUCCUAUCAGCUAGUUGGUGAGGUAACGGCUCACCAAGGCGACGACGGGUACCUGGUCUGAGAGGACGAUCAGGCACACUGGAACUGAGACACGGUCCAGACACCUACGGGUGGCAGCAGUCGAGAAUAAUUCACAAUGGGGGAAACCCUGAUGGUGCAACGCCGCGUGGAGGAUGAAGGUCUUCGGAUUGUAAACUCCUGUCAUCUGGGAGUAAGACCUGGGCGUGAAUAGCGCACUGGGUUGAUAGUACCAGAAGAGGAAGGGACGGCUAACUUCGUGCCAGCCGCCGCAGUAACAC